ACGGGCUUGGCGGAAUCAGCGGGGAAAGAAGACCCUGUUGAGCUUGACUCUAGUCCGACUUUGUGAAGAGACAUGAGANGGUGUAGCAUAGGUGGGAGCGCCAGCGUCCGUGAAAUACCACUACUUUUAUCGUUUCUUUACUUAUUCAGUCCAGCGGAGAGCGGGGCGCAAGCCCCUAGCUUCUGGAAUUAAGCUCCCGACCUUGGCGGCCGAGGGCGAUCCGCUCUGAAGACCUUGUCAGGCGGGGAGUUUGACUGGGGCGGUACAUCUGUCAAAAGGUAACGCAGGUGUCCUAAGGCGAGCUCAGCGAGGACGGAAACCUCGCGUAGAGUAAAAGGGCAAAAGCUCGCUUGAUUUUGAUUUUCAGUACGAAUACAGACCGUGAAAGCGUGGCCUAUCGAUCCUUUUGACUUUAGGAGUUUUAAGCAAGAGGUGUCAGAAAAGUUACCACAGGGAUA
rnacentral:rRNA from 1 species